UACAGAGGGGGCAAGCGUUGUUCGGAAUUACUGGGCGUAAAGGGCGCGUAGGCGGCCUGUUAAGUCGAACGUGAAAUCCCCGGGCUCAACCCGGGAACUGCGUCCGAUACUGGCAGGCUUGAAUCCGGGAGAGGGAUGCGGAAUUCCAGGUGUAGCGGUGAAAUGCGUAGAUAUCUGGAGGAACACCGGUGGCGAAGGCGGCGAUCCUGGACCGGCAUUGA
rnacentral:rRNA from 1 species